AUUGAACGCUGGCGGCAGGCCUAACACAUGCAAGUCGAGCGAGCGGCGGACGGGUGAGUAAUGUAUGGGGACUGCCCGAUGGAGGGGGAUAACUACUGGAAACGGUAGCUAAUACCGCAUACUAUCGGAUAACCCAGAUGGGAUUAGCUAGUAGGUGGGGUAAUGGCUCACCUAGGCGACGAUCCCUAGCUGGUCUGAGAGGAUGAUCAGCCACACUGGGACUGAGACACGGCCCAGACUCCUACGGAGGCAGCAGUGGGGAAUAUUGCACAAUGGGCGCAAGCCUGAUGCAGCCAUGCCGCGUGUAUGAAGAAGGCCUUAGGGUUGUAAAGCACUUUCAGUCGGGAGGCGUUACCGACAGAAGAAGCACCGGCUAACUCCGUGCCAGCCGCCGCGGUAAUAC
rnacentral:rRNA from 1 species